AGAAGGUGUACAAGCUCUGGAAAACCUAAUUUUGAGUUGGUCUGGUGAUAAUUUCCAGACCUUCUCUCUGUAACUCUUUACAGAAAUAAAAAGUCCUUUCUCUCCGAGUUCAUCUGCAUCUUGUUAUUGGGCCACGAAAAUAAACAGCCUACCCCUUGGUUUGGUCUGGCCUGCGAGCCAGGAGGCUGCUGGGAUGGUGUUGCAUGCGGCAGCCAGCAGGUUGCUAGGAGACUGUUUUCAAGAGGAUCCUAGCAGCUGCCCGUGAGAUUUUCCCGGGGACCCUCCCGAGGGCGGUCCCUUUCACUUCUGGGAAGAAUGGAGAUCAGGAUUGAAUGGAGAAUGAGUGAGCCGGAUGGAUUCAGUGUGGGCUCUGCCCAGAGCGCAAAGACCCAGUGAAAAGAGGUGGUCAGUAUUGAAACAAAGUCUCCUUACACGGCCCAAUGAUGGAGUUCUGUGAUUUUAUGUUUCAUCUGGCAUCCAUCUUCGAUCUCCAUCCAGCACUGCCAGACCUUUUCUUCCUGUACAUUGAGAUGUAAAUCUUGCCAUCUGAUUUAUCACCUAAGAGUUGUUUCCUUCAAUAUGCAGAUUUAGGGCUACUUACCUGACAACUGCCAGAGUAAUAAACCAGGUUAUCAAGAGCUUGAAAGUCUGAGAUAGGAAAAAAGGAGAUCUCGUAAAUCUAUAAAAUAUACUUCUCUUGGCAUGACUAGUAUGUCUGUGUAUUUAUGUGUUGUGUAUACCAUGUUUCACUACUGAAAAUAUGUAAAAGAGCUCUAAUUAUUGGCUCAAAGAAAAAUAAAAGGCCUUAAAUACUUUUUAAGGAAAAAAGAGACUAGUCAAAUGCUUUUUCAAGUUCACAUGACUAAAGUAAAAUCUUUAAGAAAUAAGCUAGCUUGAAAACUAUCAGUAAAGUAAUAUUAGAAAUGUCUUAAGAAUUGCCAGGGUACAUUUUUUUGUGCACUUAUUUAUUUAUGUAAUUAAUUAACUCAUUAUUAUUUUUUUGAGACAGGGUCUUGCUCUGUCUACCAUUCUGGAGUUCAGUGGCAGGCUCUUGGAUCACUGCCGUCUCCGCCUCCCAGGUUCAAGUGAUUCCUCCUGUCUCAGGUCCUGAGUAGCUGGAACUACAGGGGCCCACACCACACCCUGCUAAUUUUUGUAUUUUUAGCAGAGACAGGGUUUCACCGUGUUAGCUAGGCUAGUCUCAAACUCCUGACCGCAAGUGAUCUGCCUGCCUCGGCCUCCCAAAGUGCUGGGAUUACAGGCAUGAGCCACCACAUCCAGCCUGUUUCCAUUUAUUGGUCACGCCAUUUCAUACUUAUCUCUUCCAAAUAAGAUGAAAUGUCAAAAUUUGGCAUAGAAGCUAUGAAACUAUAAACUCAGACCAAAACAGAAUGAUCUUUGCUGGUGUAAUUUUUCAUAUACAUUAAUACUGGUUUAAUGAAGAUGGCUCCGUCUUGAAUUACUUAGUAUAAUCUCAUGGCCUUAGGUACUCUCUGGCUCACAGAUAUGAAGGAGGUUUGUUCUGGGAAAGGACUGCUACUGUCUUUGUUUCAAAGCUAAACUAUAAACUAAGUUAACGAACAAGAGCAGCUUGGAGGUUAGAAGUGAGGUGGAGUCAGAUCCUUUUCACUGUCUCAGUUAUAAUUUGGCAGUUAUAACUUUAAAUGAUGACUAUUGCAGUUUUCAUAAAUUAGGUAAAUGAUUAAAAUAAAUAAUUAGGUAAAUGUAAUGGGCUAAAUAUUCAUAAA
ensembl:lncRNA